GAUGAACGCUGGCGGCGUGCCUAAUACAUGCAAGUCGAGCGAACGGACGAGAAGCUUGCUUCUCUGAUGUUAGCGGCGGACGGGUGAGUAACACGUGGAUAACCUACCUAUAAGACUGGGAUCACUUCGGGAAACCGUAGCUAAUACCGGAUAAUAUUUUGAACCGCAUGGUUCAAAAGUGAAAGACGGUCUUGCUGUCACUUAUAGAUGGAUCCGCGCUGCAUUAGCUAGUUGGUAAGGUAACGGCUUACCAAGGCAACGAUGCAUAGCCGACCUGAGAGGGGGAUCGCCCACACGUGAACCUACACACCGUCCAUACUCCUACGGGAGGCAGCAGUAGGGAAUCUUCGGCAAUAGGCGAAAGCCUGGCGCAGCAACGACGCGCGAGCGAUGAGACGCUUCAGAUCGUAAACCUCAAUUAUUAGGGAAAAACAUAUGUAUAAAUUGCCGAACACAUCAUGACGGUACCUAGUCAGAAAGCCACGGCUAACUACGUG
rnacentral:rRNA from 1 species